rnacentral:rRNA from 1 species
UACGUAGGGAGCAAGCGUUGUCCGGAAUUACUGGGCGUAAAGCGCGCGUAGGCGGCUUUGUAAGUUAGAGGUGAAAGCCCGGAGCUCAACUCCGGAAUUGCCUUUAAGACUGCAUCGCUAGAAUCAUGGAGAGGUGAGUGGAAUUCCGAGUGUAGAGGUGAAAUUCGUAGAUAUUCGGAAGAACACCAGUGGCGAAGGUGACUCACUGGACAUGUAUUGACGCUGAGGUGCGAAAGCGUGGGGGAGCAAACAGG